GGAACAUCGGAGCAGCCGUGAGCUGUGUGUCCACAGACCUGAGCCUUUCUGGGGCAGAGCUUGGAAAAAGUAACACAACAAACUUCUAACAUUAUAAAUCAGGGAUUUCAACCAAGCAAGCUUGAAGAAACUACCAACUAUCAACAUAUCCCAUAUGGAACCAGAGGAGCAAACACACCUUACCACUAUUACACCACCAUCUAGAACAUUUACCAUGCAUCCCAAGCCUGCAAUUUGGCAAGUCCAAUCACAUGGCUAUUCUACUUCUGGCACACAGGCAAAGUCUGAGGACCACAGCACGAGAAGUGAGGACCAGGUAUGGUUAAGAAUUACUCCACACUUGAUGCACAGAAGACUUAGGCUACAUCCACACUGGACCGGAUAAUUUUGAAAACACUGGUUUCGCAUAAAAACGAUAGGCGUCCACACUAUGCGUUUAAAAAAAUAUCUCUAUCCACACUGAAACGGAGAUUUCGGCGAAUCUCCUCCUGCUGUGCAUGCACAAGACACAUCUACCAAAAACAAACGACAUGUUUGGUGUUGAAUCUCGCCGUAAAAGUGCACGUUUGUGUCGUUACAGUCCAGAAAAAACUUAAAACGACAGACAACUGUUGGCUCUCAUGCGGGAGAACUUCAAACUAAAAAAAAACAAAUACUGGAGCGUACGGAGGCAACCAACAGGGAAUUCACUGUAUGAUCCGGCUGAUGACGAACAUUGAAAAACUGACUAACUGUUGCAUUAAUAAAGCACCUUGUUAAAUGUAUAAAACAUGUCUGCAUCAGUGUUAUCUUGUAUUUCCAUACAAUGUUACAUUAGGCUGUUACACAUCUAUUGUCAGAGAAGUACUUGCAUAAAUAGGUAAACCACCUUCAUACGAGCAAGGACAGAAAACGGCAAAGUGAGUAUAGUAUACUUAUUUAUUCAGUAAGUUAUGGGUCAAAGUAUUUGGUGAGUACAUUUUUAACUCUUCUGGCUUCAGUCUCGUUGCCAUCUGUUCUGAAAUUGUUAGGUUGCGUUCAAGAAAACAAUGAAAUAGCGCGCAGCUGUCUGACAGUGUUUUCAAAAGUCUCCGGUUACUCCGUCCACACUGAUCUGCCCGAGCAGCGUUUUCAAAAAUAUCCACCUUGGAAAGUGUUUCUGAAAAACUCCAGUUUUGGGGGACGAAAACGCCGUUUUAGUGUGGACGGAGGGUAAAAACGAAGAGAAAAAGCUUCGGUUAUGGAUUUAUCCCACGUAGUGUGGAUAUAGCCUUAGAACUUGCCUCAACCUAGUACCCUGGGGAAAACUUGUGGCAAAAAUCGAAAUGGUGGAAUGAAGUAGUCAAACAAG